GCCUCUGUAGCUCAGAGCUUUGAAGCUGGCUUCAAAAUUCGCCCGCUUUAAGCGUGCAACGGUAGAGCGACCGCUUCGUAAGCGGUAGGUCGGGGGUUCAAAUCCCUCCAGGGGCU
rnacentral:tRNA from 1 species